UGAAAUAAGACGACUGCUACGUGGUAGGC
rnacentral:sRNA from 1 species